rnacentral:tRNA from 1 species
GCUCUCAUCGUCUAACGGCUAGGACGCCGCCCUUUCACGGCGGAAAUCGGAGUUCGAUUCUCCGUGGGAGCA